GCAAGUUACCAGGAGGACUGACUGAUUCAGUGAACAACGCUGCAAUGUGCUCAACAUGUGUUUGGCUCACCUCCCGCUCUGCGCUCAUCUGCAGUCGACCACAGCAGACCAACCAAGGCUUUCUCUCAUUGAGUGAACAGACAGGGCAUCAUAUGACUGUCAUAAGACCUAAUGAACCACCAU